AUUGUUCGCAAUGGGCGCAAGCCUGACGACGCAACGCCGCGUGGAGGAUGAAGAUCUUCGGGUCGUAAACUCCUGUCGAGUGGGAAGAAUAGUGUCCGGGCGAAUAUCCCGGACACCUGACGGUACCACUAAAGGAAGCCCCGGCUAACUCCGUGCCAGCAGCCGCGGUAAUACGGAAGGGGCUAGCGUUGUUCGGAAUCACUGGGCGUAAAGCGCGCGUAGGCGGCCUUGCAAGUGCGGCGUGAAAGUCCUGGGCUCAACCUGGGGACGGCGCUGCGGACUGCAUGGCUGGAGUCCGGAAGAGGGUGGUGGAAUUCCGAGUGUAGAGGUGAAAUUCGUAGAUAUUCGGAGGAACACCGGUGGCGAAGGCGGCCACCUGGUCCGGUACUGACGCUGAAGCGCGAAAGCGUGGGGAGCAAAC
rnacentral:rRNA from 1 species